rnacentral:ncRNA from 1 species
UCUUAUCAAGAGAGGUGGAGGGAUAGGGCCCAGUGAAACCCGGCAACCUGUUUAAUUACAAGGUGCCAAUUCCUGUAGAAAGAUUUUCUACAAGAUAAG